rnacentral:lncRNA from 1 species
CUUCAAGGAGGUCUGUGUGCUUAAGAGGAUAAUGACCUUGAAUCCUAAACUUGAAUGGUCUGACUCGCUCCUCAGGCACUGAAAUGUGCUGUAUCAGAUCCAAUGGCAGUGGGAGUAACAGAAGGCUUAUAAAAGGCAGAACGUAACAGUUCUAGCUGCAUUAUACUCCCAUUGCACCCGUGUGGAAGAAGACAACACUGAAAGCAGAGCCUGGACAGUCAGUUUUCUUGAGUGCCCUCAUGGACCUUGAGACCACAUUUCUG